rnacentral:rRNA from 1 species
CACGUAGGCACCAAGCGUUGUCCGGAUUUAUUGGGCGUAAAGAGCUCGUAGGCGGUUCGGUAAGUCGGGUGUGAAAACUUUGGGCUCAACCCAAAGCGUGCACUCGAUACUGCCAUGACUAGAGUUCGGUAGGGGAGUGGGGAAUUCCUAGUGUAGCGGUGAAAUGCGCAGAUAUCAGGAGGAACACCGAUGGCGAAGGCAGGUCUCUGGGCCACUACUGACGCUGAGAAGCGAAAGCAUGGGGAGCGAACAGG